CCAAUCUGUACAAGCGUCUUGUAGCUACUUUGGAUUCUAAAAAGUUCUUGAGCAAACUUGAGUCACUCCAUCAAGAAUCAUUGGAUGUGGCUAGCAAUAAUUUUCCUUUCAAAGAAGUCACAGGUGCUGAUUUGCAAACAGUGAAAAUUCUGGUUAAUCUUGAGCGUGAAGA